rnacentral:rRNA from 1 species
UAGGGAAUCUUCCACAAUGGACGCAAGUCUGAUGGAGCAACGCCGCGUGAGUGAAGAAGGCUUUCGGGUCGUAAAACUCUGUUAUUGAAGAAGAACGUGCGUGACAGUAACUGGUCAUGCAGUGACGGUAUUCAAUCAGAAAGUCACGGCUAACUACGUGCCAGCAGCCGCGGUAAUACGUAGGUGGCAAGCGUUGUCCGGAUUUAUUGGGCGUAAAGCGAGUGCAGGCGGUCUUUUAAGUCUGAUGUGAAAGCCUUCGGCUUAACCGAAGAAGGGCAUCGGAAACUGGGAGACUUGAGUGCAGAAGAGGAGAGUGGAACUCCAUGUGUAGCGGUGAAAUGCGUAGAUAUAUGGAAGAACACCAGUGGCGAAGGCGGCUCUCUGGUCUGUAACUGACGCUGAGGCUCGAAAGCGUGGGUAGCAAACAGGAUUAGAUACCCUGGUAGUC